rnacentral:rRNA from 1 species
GACGAACGCUGGCGGCGCGCCUAAUACAUGCAAGUCGAACGCUUCUUUCCUCCCGAGUGCUUGCACUCAAUUGGAAAGAGGAGUGGCGGACGGGUGAGUAACACGUGGGUAACCUACCCAUCAGAGGGGGAUAACACUUGGAAACAGGUGCUAAUACCGCAUAACAUCAUCGGAAGGCAUCUUCUGAUGAUCAAAGAUUUAUCGCUGAUAGAUGGGCUCGCGUCUGAUUAGAUAGUUGGCGGGGUAACGGCCCACCAAGUCGACGAUCAGUAGCCGGACUGAGAGGUUGAACGGCCACAUUGGGACUGAGACACGGCCCAG